GACGAACGCUGGCGGCGUGCUUAACACAUGCAAGUCGAACGGAAAGGCCCCUUUGGGGGUACUCGAGUGGCGAACGGGUGAGUAACACGUGAGUAACCUGCCCUUGACUUCGGGAUAACUUCAGGAAACUGGGGCUAAUACCGGCUAGGAAUCAUUGCUGCUUGGUGGGGGUUGGAAAGCUUCGGCGGUUUUGGGUGGUCUGGCGGCUUAUCAGCUUGUUGGUGGGGGAGUGGCUUACCAAGGCUUUGACGGGUAGCCGGCCUGAGAGGGGGACCGGCCACAUUGGGACUGAGAUACGGCCCAGACGCCUACGGGAGGCAGUAGUGGGGAAUAUUGCACAAUGGGCGGGAGCCUGAUGCAGCAACGCCGCGUGCGGGAUGACGGCCUUCGGGUUGUAAACCGCUUUCAGCAGGGGCGAAGCUUGUGGUGACGGUACCUGCAGAAGAAGCACCGGCUAACUACGUG
rnacentral:rRNA from 1 species